AAGGCUGAAAGAGAAGGACAGCGUUAACUUUGAGAGGGGCCUUAGGUGUAGGCCUUGAGUAUAUUCCCCAAAAAUUGUAAAUGAUUUAGGGUUUUUGGGUAUUUGGUCAUGCAAAGCUUUUAGUGACGAAAUUUUCCUCGUGCAAAACCCUAAAAAUUUGGGCAGGUGACAAAAAUAAGGCACGGGAAAAUUAUUUAUGUUUAAUAUUUAUAAAACUUUAUUUGCUGAAUAGGAUGCUUUGUGCAACGAAAGUGGGUCAUGAACGUGGGAAGAGGAAAUUUAUUUUUAAAAAAUUUUCACGAUUAACAGGAAGCUAUUCAUCACACAAAGUGCUACAUAUUUUAAAACCAACUCCACAAAAAAAAAAAAAAAAAAAAAAAAACUCCACAAUUUUCACAUUGUAUCUCUAUUCUCUAAUCUCUCUUCUCUCUUUCCCACUCCCUCCCUCUCUCUAGCUCUCUAACUUACUAUAUUCUCUCGCACACUCACUAUCUUCUCUCUCUCUCACUCACUAUCUAUCUUCUCUCUCUCACACCCACUUUCUCCUCUCUCACUCGCUAUCUUCUCUCUCUCACUCACUUUCUCCUCUCUCUCUCUCUCUCUCUCUCUCAAUCUCUCACAUUCACUCUCUCCUCUCUCUCUCUCUCAUUCUCUCUCUCUCUCACUCACCCUCAAUCUUGCCAAAAGGCAUUUCCUCCCUAAUUGUUUUUUUUUUCAUUGAAGUGUUUUUGGAGUUGAUUUUGGGUUUGAAUGGGUCGGGUUUGGGGUGGGGUUGAGUUUGGGAUUGGAUUUAGGGUAAGGGUAUGGUGUUGGGAAGGGGUGGGGUCAAAUUUAGGGCGCCCGGGGAGGGGUGUGGGCUUUGGGGUCAUAUUUGGGGGUGGGGUGGAGUUAAGGGUCGGAUUUAGGGUAAGGUAGGGAUGGGAUGGGUGUAGGCUUUGGGUUUUGGGUUUCGGGUGGGGCUAGCCUUUGGGGCUGGUUUUGGCCUUUGAUUUUUUUUUUUUUUGGGGGGGGGGGGUCGGUGUGGCCUUAAGGCUUGGGCUUUAUGUAUGUUUUUUUGUGUCGGAGUAUAAUUAAAUUGUGAUGAUUAUAAUUGGUUGGUUGCUUCAAAUAAAUUGAUAUACUGUUUGCAGCUUAUGGGGAAUGUUAUAUUUUUAUAGGAGGUUAUGUCGAUUUUUCUGUAGAAUUUUAUGUUAGUUUUUGGUUAUUUAACUAUGUUUGUUUUUUGUAAGGAAUCGUUGGGACUAUGACGGCAGAAGUUGAGGAGCUAAGGAGGCAGCUGGCAGAUCAAGAUAGCAGAUUGGCAAAGCAAAACCCCAUCCAACAUAUCUCUGCACCACCACCACAAUAGACUUGUAUUAGAAUCUUAUUAUUGUACUUUGUUUCUAUGUACACUUUUAAUAUAAUAUAUAUAUCUGUGUGUGUGUAGAUAUAUUAUAGGUAAUUUGAUCACUAUUUUCACUAAUAAUAAGUAGUUACGGAUAAUAUUGAUGAGUUUAGUGGUAGACUAUGUUGUGUUUAAAUAUUUUUAUCACCAAGUGCAUAUUUAAGCUUUACUUAGCCUUAAUUUGUCGACUUGACGAUGUUUCUUACUGUUUCUAUAUAGAACUGAAAGUGUUUAAAUUAGGUUACAAGACUUCUAUAUCAAAUUAUCAAUAGAAUCGGUCAAUUUUAGAUUUACCGAAAACUAAUGAACCUCUGGCCAAAAAACUUUAAAGCUUGACCUACGAAAUAUCAUAAUUGGUCAGAGGUUGAUUUGACUGACUGGAUAUUUAGGCAUACGUGUAAUGCGCCUAUAGAAGAUCAUAGACUCCAAGACGUCCAUGAAUGGGAUGAAAUGCAUUUUUCAUCUUUAGGCGUGUAAAGUUUUAAAAUUUUAUACACUACCAGUCCUCUAAUAUACGACGAUCUAUAUAACCGUUAUUUUUCAGGGAAUUUUAACAAAAAGUUUUUAAUACUAUUCAUUUUACUUUUUAUUUUAUUUUUAUUUUUAAAAUUUAAAAUUUUUAAGUCAUUUUCUUUAAUUUUUCUUAUUUUUUACGCAUCAUUCUUGAUGGACUUAUUUUUUACUUACAUGAUCGUUGGAUUGAUGCCAAAUAUGUCAUUAUUCAUAUCUGUCUAUGUCUAGAAAGUUAAGGGUUUUUAAAACGUUCUUAUUCUAUAUGGAAAAGUAAUGAGGAGACCAUAUUUUUGUAUCAUAUUAUUGUACUAUAUGAUAUGGUAAGUAAUGUACGCAUGUUGUAUCAAUUAAUGAAUUUAUCUCAUUGAAUAUAGGUAGUAUGAAUCACUUAUACCAUAUUAGAUAGUACACUAAUGUGGUAUAAAUAUGUGGUUCCCCUAACUCUUUUGUUGAGGGAUUCCUCAAGUAAACUUAUUUGAGGGAUUCCUCAAAUAAACUAAGGGAUUCUUUGUAGGGCUCUCUUCACAUCGUAUUUUAACGAUCUAACCGUCUACCUUUUAGGUCAUCUCUCAAAUAUCACCUCUACCGAAAAUCACCCAAAUCCGAAACCCUUUGACCGUUGGAUUAAAUUAUAAUGAUAUUAGUGUUUCUUGAAAAACUAUAUUCGUCUAUUUUCUUCACUAUCAUUGGAAGUCUUAAUGUUUUGAAUUAUCUAAUUUUUUAUAAGGAUGAUAUAUUAAUUAUGUACUAAAGUAUAGAUAGUUAAUUUAAUCGUUGAGAAAAGUUACAGAAUGAGGACCACAAGAUGUCUCUCAAUAAAAUUAUUUGAGAAAUCCCUUAGGGUUUUGUAUAAUAGUAGAGAUUAAAUUUGAUGAAGAUCUUGAGCUUGAAGGCCUCUGGUUCAAUUUAUAGGCAAUGGAGAAAGAGUAACCUCGAUCUUAUUGCUGAGCUAGAGCAUGGGUAAAUCAGUCAUUUGACAUUGAUAGUGACUAUAAUUCUUGGUUGGUAGCCCUCACCUGUAUUUUGUGGUGGUUCACUCGAUCACCAUGGUGACAUCAACAUGUUGAAUGACGCGUACAUAGACACUUAAGGAGGCAAGAUAUUAUUGAAUAUAGUCGUCUACAUGGCAGACACACUUUGGGGAGGAGCCUGUUUGAGCCCUUGGACAGGUUGAGGCAGUCAUUCGAGUCAGAGAUAAUAUCCUUAAUUGGGCUUCAAAGUUGGUGGGCUAGAGUCGUGCGACUUUGUGUAAACAAUAAACAAUUUAGCCCCAUAACAAGGCUUAUUUUAUAUUAAUAGUCCUAUGUGUGUGUGUGUGUGUGUGUGUGUGUGUGUGUGUGUGUGUGUGUUAGUCACUUUGUACUACGAUUUAGUGGUAAUCCUCUUUACUUGUAAGUGAGAGGUCUUCGAUUCGAUUCUCGCCAAAGGUGAAUUUGGACCACAUUAUUGUAAGCCUAUUGUGAGGCUAAGCUCACCCCCUUCACCUUAGUAUAUAUAAUAUCAUUUGUUCAAAAAAAAAAAGUUCAAUAUAUAUAGGGGUAUGCUAUCCACACACCAUAUUUUACUUCUUACAAACCCCUUGAUAAUUUCUGUCUAUUGAUCUUCUUCAAUUCAUCUGAUCUGACGGCCGAAAUUUAAAAGGUGUGUGAGAAGUAAAUGAGAUGUGUGGAUAUCAUACCCAUAUAUAUAUACAGAUUGCUUAAGGGAAGGGAUCCCCAUUUUUUUUCAAAAAAUGGGGAUUAGGUGUGGGGCCCACUCCACAUCGAAUUUCAACGAUCCGAACCGUCUAUUUUGUUAGUCUCGAUUCAUAGAUCAUCCUUGAUAAAUAUUAGCUAAAUCGGAAAUGUUUAAGACAUCUAAUUGGGUUCAAGGAAAUGAAUGAAUACUUUGUUAUAUAAGAAAUAAUAAAAUUUGAUCUUGAUAAUUAAAUAGGCAAAUGGUUUCGGAUUGAAUUAAAUUUUUGCAAGGAUGAUCUAUGAAUCGAGACUAACAAAAUAAACGGUUCGGAUCGUUGAAAUUCAAUGUGGAGUGGACCCCACACCUAAUCCCCAUUUUUUUCAAAAAAUGGAGAUCCCUUCCCUUAAGCAAUCUG
rnacentral:lncRNA from 1 species